rnacentral:rRNA from 1 species
GACGAACGCUGGCGGCGUGCUUAACACAUGCAAGUCGAACGAUGAAGCUAGAGCUUGCUCUGGUGAAUUAGUGGCGAACGGGUGAGUAACACGUGAGUAACCUGCCCCGAACUCUGGGAUAACUGCUGGAAACGGUAGCUAAUACUGGAUACGACCUACGAAGGCAUCUUCUGUAGGUGGAAAGAAUUUCGGUUCGGGAUGGACUCGCGGCCUAUCAGCUUGUUGGUGAGGUAAUGGCUCACCAAGGCGACGACGGGUAGCCGGCCUGAGAGGGUGACCGGGCACACGGGGACUGGGACACGGCCCAGACUCCUACGGGAGGCAGCAGUGGGGAAUAUUGCGCGAUGGGCGCAAUCCUGAUGCAGCAACGCCGCGUGAGGGAUGACGGCCUUCGGGUUGUAAACCUCUUUUAGUAGGGAAGAAGCGAAAGUGACGGUACCUGCAGAAAAAGCACCGGCUAACUACGUGCCAGCCGCCGCCGUAA